AGAGUUUGAUCAUGGCUCAGAACGAACGCUGGCGGCAGGCUUAACACAUGCAAGUCGAGCGCCCCGCAAGGGGAGCGGCAGACGGGUGAGUAACGCGUGGGAAUCUACCCAUCUCUACGGAAUAACCCAGGGAAACUUGGACUAAUACCGUAUACGUCCUUCGGGAGAAAGAUUUAUCGGAGAUGGAUGAGCCCGCGUUGGAUUAGCUAGUUGGUGGGGUAAUGGCCUACCAAGGCGACGAUCCAUAGCUGGUCUGAGAGGAUGAUCAGCCACACUGGGACUGAGACACGGCCCAGACUCCUACGGGAGGCAGCAGUGGGGAAUAUUGGACAAUGGGCGAAAGCCUGAUCCAGCCAUGCCGCGUGAGUGAUGAAGGCCCUAGGGUUGUAAAGCUCUUUCACCGGUGAAGAUAAUGACGGUAACCGGAGAAGAAGCCCCGGCUAACUUCGUGCCAGCCGCCGCGGUAAUAC
rnacentral:rRNA from 1 species